UACGAGGGGGGCGAGCGUUGUUCGGAAUUAUUGGGCGUAAAGGGUGCGUAGGCGGUUUGGUAAGUCUGAUGUGAAAUCUAUGGGCUCAACUCAUAGUCUGCAUCGGAAACUGCCGGGCUUGAGGGAGAUAGAGGUGAGCGGAACUUAGGGUGGAGCGGUGAAAUGCGUUGAUAUCCUAAGGAACACCGGUGGCGAAAGCGGCUCACUGGAUCUCUUCUGACGCUGAGGCACGAAAGCUAGGGUAGCGAACGGG
rnacentral:rRNA from 1 species